GCCCUUGUAGUAUAAGUCAAUACACUGGCCUUGUAAACCAAAAAUGGAACACUCCCUCCUCCCUA
rnacentral:tRNA from 1 species